UCGUAACGAACUCUGGUAUUGAUUGGUGCUUGCAUCAUGAUUUACAUUUGAGUGAGUGGCGAACUGGUGAGUAACACGUGGGAAACCUGCCCAGAAGCGGGGGAUAACACCUGGAAACAGAUGCUAAUACCGCAUAACAACUUGGACCGCAUGGUCCGAGCUUGAAAGAUGGCUUCGGCUAUCRCUUUUGGAUGGUCCCGCGGCGUAUUAGCUAGAUGGUGGGGUAACGGCUCACCAUGGCAAUGAUACGUAGCCGACCUGAGAGGGUAAUCGGCCACAUUGGGACUGAGACACGGCCCAAACUCCUACGGGAGGCAGCAGUAGGGAAUCUUCCACAAUGGACGAAAGUCUGAUGGAGCAACGCCGCGUGAGUGAAGAAGGGUUUCGGCUCGUAAAACUCUGUUGUUAAAGAAGAACAUAUCUGAGAGUAACUGUUCAGGUAUUGACGGUAUUUAACCAGAAAGCCACGGCUAACUACGUGCCAGCAGCCGCGGUAAUACGUAGGUGGCAAGCGUUGUCCGGAUUUAUUGGGCGUAAAGCGAGCGCAGGCGGUUUUUUAAGUCUGAUGUGAAAGCCUUCGGCUCAACCGAAGAAGUGCAUCGGAAACUGGGAAACUUGAGUGCAGAAGAGGACAGUGGAACUCCAUGUGUAGCGGUGAAAUGCGUAGAUAUAUGGAAGAACACCAGUGGCGAAGGCGGCUGUCUGGUCUGUAACUGACGCUGAGGCUCGAAAGUAUGGGUAGCAAACAGGAUUAGAUACCCUGGUAGUCCAUACCGUAAACGAUGAAUGCUAAGUGUUGGAGGGUUUCCGCCCUUCAGUGCUGCAGCUAACGCAUUAAGCAUUCCGCCUGGGGAGUACGGCCGCAAGGCUGAAACUCAAAGGAAUUGACGGGGGCCCGCACAAGCGGUGGAGCAUGUGGUUUAAUUCGAAGCUACGCGAAGAACCUUACCAGGUCUUGACAUACUAUGCAAAUCUAAGAGAUUAGACGUUCCCUUCGGGGACAUGGAUACAGGUGGUGCAUGGUUGUCGUCAGCUCGUGUCGUGAGAUGUUGGG
rnacentral:rRNA from 1 species